rnacentral:misc_RNA from 1 species
UACGUAGGGUGCAAGCGUUGUUCGAAAUCACUGGGCGUAAAGCGCGUGUAGGCGGUUUGUUAAGUCUAAUGUGAAAGCCCGGAGCUUAACUCCGGAAGUGCAUCGGAUACUGGCAAACUAGAGGGCAGAAGAGGGAAGUGGAAUUCCUGGUGUAGGGGUGAAAUCCGUAGAUAUCAGGAGGAACAUCAGUGGCGAAGGCGGCUUCCUGGUCUGUUUCUGACGCUCAGACGCGAAAGCAUGGGGAGCAAACAGG